rnacentral:rRNA from 1 species
CCUACGGGAGGCAGCAGUGAGGAAUAUUGGUCAAUGGACGAGAGUCUGAACCAGCCAAGCCGCGUGAAGGAUGACUGUCCUAUGGGUGGUAAACUUCUUUUAUAUGGGAGUAAACUGCUCUACGUGUGGGAUCUUGUAUGUACCAUAUGAAUAAGGAUCGGCUAACUCCGUGCCAGCAGCCGCGGUAAUACGGAGGAUCCGAGCGUUAUCCGGAUUUAUUGGGGUUAAAGGGAGCGUAGGUGGGAGGUUAAGUCCGUUGUGAAAGUUUGGGGCUCAACCGUAAAAUUGCAGUUGAAACUGGCAGUCUUGAGUACGGUAGAGGUGGGCGGAAUUCGUGGUGUAGCGGUGAAAUGCUUAGAUAUCACGAAGAACUCCGAUUGCGAAGGCAGCUCACUGGACUGCAACUGACACUGAGGCUCGAAAGUGUGGGUAGCAAACAGGAUUAGAUACCCUAGUAGUC